GCUAUCGCGGGAGAUGGGGUCCUCCUUCAACCGCCACGAAACUGGCUGACGAUCCCUGCGAAGGU
rnacentral:ncRNA from 2 species